rnacentral:rRNA from 1 species
CGGUGAGUAACGCGUGGGUAACCGUGCCUCACACAGGGGAGUAACAGUUGGAAACGGCUGCUAAUACCGCAUAAGCGCACAGUACCGCAUGGUACAGUGUGAAAAACUCCGGUGGUGUGAGAUGGACCCGCGUCUGAUUAGCUAGUUGGCAGGGUAACGGCCUACCAAGGCGACGAUCAGUAGCCGACCUGAGAGGGUGACCGGCCACAUUGGGACUGAGACACGGCCCAA